UAACACGUAAACAACCUGCCCUCAGGAUGGGGACAACAGACGGAAACGACUGCUAAUACCGAAUACGUUCCACGGGCCGCAUGACCUGUGGAAGAAAGGGUAGCCUCUACCUGUAAGCUAUCGCCUGAAGAGGGGUUUGCGUCUGAUUAGGCAGUUGGUGGGGUAACGGCCCACCAAACCAACGAUCAGUAGCCGGUCUGAGAGGAUGAACGGCCACACUGGGACUGAGACACGGUCCAG
rnacentral:rRNA from 1 species